ACGAUUUGACCGAGAAACAUAAACAACAUAACAGAGAAAUUGGAUUGGAAAACUAGUUGAAUAAAAUAUCGUGUUCCCACUCAUUGGAUAUUUACCACAGCACUUCCCUAGUCACUUCCUAAAUGCCACUGAACGUACUAACUCCAUCGGCACAUCCUCUAUCACUAGCCACCUAUUCCCAACAAAACAUUAACUAAAACCUAGAUAUACAUUCAAAAUAGAUCUUUGUUUUGAACCUGUGUUGAGGCUUUCGUUAUGCUCACCUUGCUGGUCAGUUAAAGCUGGAUAUAAUCACUGUCCUCGUCAUCUGCAAAUAGAAAGGAGGGGAUCAUGCAAGUGACACAAAAUAGUAGCAAGUUAUUCAACUUUAAAGAACAUCAAAACCAUAAUCUGUUUUUUUCCUUUUAUUAUAGUUAUACCAAUACCAAUACCAAUACCAAUACCAAUACUAAGAAGAAGAAGAAGAUUAAUUCUCUGAGCUUUUCUGAAAAUGGCCACUUUCGUACUGUUAUCAUCAACCCAUGUCAUUUUCAAUUUGGGACCGGGGGCACUGUUAAAGUAAUUCUUUGUUCAAUUCAAAGAAGGAUACUGUGGGGUUUAAACAAAGUUCAGGAGGAGAUUGAAAAAGAGAUAGGUGGCUACUUAACAGUUAGGCCAUUGGUGCCAGAAGGCUAGAGUGGUGUCAUCAAACGAAGAAGAUGACACCAUAGAAUUCUUCCAAAGAGGCAAUAUGAGAGAUCAAAUCAUCUUGGAGAUAUUGUGAUUACUAUUUAGCUCUCGAGAGGAGAAAAUUCCUUCCCAAUCUAAAGCCAUUUUUCUUUUUCUCUAGACAUCAUAAUAUAGGAGUCUUCUCUUGAAACCAAACUAUCAAUAUUAUGAUGUUCCAGUGACAUCAUAGUGCUUUUGGUUCUUCCUGUGGCAACAAAUCGUCUUUCUUUCUUGUUAUCAGAGGCUCAUAGAAGAAAAAAGGGGGUUCUGCUCCAUCUGGACAAUUGGAAUAAAUGUCGGUUAUAUGGACUUGAUGAGCCUCCACUGAUGUAGGUGGAUCGCAAGGGUAGGAAUUCUACUCCAUUUCUGGAGUUUCUCUGUUGUUCAAGCUACUUGAGACUUCUGUGGUGGAUUUGUGGAGAUGGAUGUUUAGGCACAAGUCUUGAUAAGGGCACUGAGAUCCUUUCACUCGUGAUGAUUUUUGAUGAGUGGUAAGUCAAAUUGGGCUCUCUUGGGAAAGCAUUCAUCUGAUGGAACGGCUGCUGGUGGGCAUUGUUUCCUUCAUGGUUAAUUCCAAUACUUCAGCUGAUGAAAUGACUACUGGUGGACAUUGGAUCCUCCAUGGUUAAUUCCAAUACAACCACUUGGUCUUCCAAAAGUCUGAGAUGUGUUAUAACAAAGCUGGGUACAUGACCUUAAGCAUAUGCAGGUCAUGUGCAACUUAAAUCCCAUAAGCCUGUUGGACUUGGACCCCUCUGGUCAAGAUACCACCCUUGUGAAGCCUGAGCUGCCCUACCCUUCAAGCCCAUAAAUCCAAGUCCCUCAAACAGGUCCCAUAUGGAGGAGGCCUCCCUGAACCUUCUGUCAAGCUAGAUGAUGAACCGCGGACCGGCGGAUGCGGCAAUUGCCAUAUCCCCAAAAAAAGAGGGGGAGAGGGAGGAAAUUAGGGUUACAUCAGGCAAAGAGGGAGGAAAAAUACCUUUUAGGGCUGCUGCGGAAAAGAGAGGGGAAGAACAGAGGCUGCGAUUCAGGUACGUAUUCCAUAUUUCUCUUUCUUUUCUUCAUCUUUCUCUUUCGCCUCUUUCUUCUGUUUGCGUUUCAGACGGAGGAGUCGACAGGUAUUUUUUAUCCCUUUUCUGUCUUCAUAUGCAUAUUUGAUUUGUAUAGUGUGGCAAAAAUAGUCAUAUGUAUAUGGAUAUGGGCCAUACUUUGUGGGGCUCGAGUCUCGACGACCCAUGCCUUGGCCAAAGCCAGGGGCGUGGCCUCCCUUGUCUAAGCCAAAUUUCUUGUUUCCCCUCUUUCGCCUAAUUUCUUUUCAGUUGCUCAUACUUGGGUCAACCUCCUCGGGAAUUGCAUAGAUCAUAUAUGUUAAGCAAGGUCCACUUAUGUUGCUCUCCACUUUUAUUUCACAGGCAUACAGUCCACAAGUAGUAUUCCUCAUGCAGUCCCCCUCGUGCCAUUGUGAGAGGAAGCUUACAAAUAAGAAAUUUCUCAACUCCAAUUGGGCCCAAAAAGAAUCCAACCCAGCAACAAAAUACUUCAGGCUCAGUCUAAUUAAGUCUCUAGGACAUGUCUUUAUAUCAUUAUAUCGGGAUCAGAGUAAUAAAUUAUAUGGCUUUGGGGGAAAUUAGAGCACCCAAAGUCCAAUUUGCCUUAUACCCGUUAAACUAAACACAAUUGCAGACCAAAUAAAACUAAACACGCCAUCAGGCCAGUGAUAGACAUAAAUUUCAUGCAUUUUAUUAUUUCUAUUCUUGUUCAUUUAUAUUUUAAUUUAAUUUAAUCUUUAAUUAAUGAGUUUUAUCUUAUUUUGUACCAUUUAUAUUUUGUUAGCAAGAGUCAAAAUCUUAGUGAUCAAGCAAUAAUCACUGCUACAAUUCAUGAAAGGAAAGAAGCGUAGAAGAUUCCUCUGAAAGAAGUUUAUUGCCACUAAAAAAGAGAUGAAGUUAAAACCUACAAAUAAAAGACUUCAAGCCUUGAUGCCUAUAAAUAAAGAAGGCCAAAGCAAAAGGAGUUAAUUUUUUAGGUAUUAGUUUUAUCAAAUUUAGCAGCAGGAGUAGAAUUAAAAUUAAUCUUGUUGUUUUCUAUUAUCUAACUACCCGUCAAAGGAACUUAAAAAGAGUUUGUAUUUUUUUACUUUAUUGAAUGUUACUCUUAUUUUUUUUCUUCUUAUUUAAUUCAUAAAAGAAAGUUAUUUCAAUUCUUAUUUAGUUGUUUAGUUCUAGUUAUUUAGUUUCAUGUAAAUAGUAGUAGUAUUUUUAUUUCAAAUUAUACGGUCAACUAAAUUGUUAAAUCAAGAAUGAUGAUGAAGCUAAGUUACAUAUCUUUAUAAAUAUUCUCCAUCUUUUCUAUUAUUUGUGCUUCAAUGAAUUAUUGGUUUCACUUUUAUUUGCCAUUCUUGGAAUUCAUUCAUGCUUAAUUAUUAUGUAAUUUUUAAAUUGAUGGAGAGAUUUUGAAAAAUUAUUGUUAACAUGUGAAUUUUUAAUAGCCCAUGCUUGCCCGAGGUUUUGAUGAGUUAUUGUUAAUCUUUAAAUUUUCAAAAUCUAGCCCAAGUUAAUUAUAAAAGUCACCAAAUUAAAAAAGGGAGGUAGAUCACAGAUUAGUUUAAUAUGAGCUUUAAAUUUAUUUUGCGAACUUUUUAUACUUAGCAACUGGCAUAGUUUGAGUUAUAAAAAGAAAAUGAGAGAAUAUUUGUUAUGAAUGUUAUUUCGUGGAUCAUAUUCCUAAAUUACUUUUUCAUUAAUAGUUUUCACCUUUAACUAGCUUAAAUAUUAUUUUUUAUUUAAGUUCAGUUACCCAUCUAUUCCAUCUUUGUUUCUAAUUCAUCUGAAUUGAGACCAAGAAUAUAUUAAAAGAAAAAAAAGUAAACUAGUCUCUGUGGGUUUCACUUUUACUUUAUGCUCUUCAAUUUCACAUUGUGUACUAGCAGUCUUCAAAUUUACACAUCAGCCAGUUUUAAGUAACAUUUUGUCGAGUUUGAAAAGAAAUCUUGAAAAGCAUGGGUAGGAUGCAGCAUUUUGCUUCAGAUCCAGUGUCGAAGCCACUAAGAUGGGACCAAGUACGAGGCUUGGAUUUUCAAUUUUAAGGUAAAGAUAGCAGCUUCACAGUUGCAUAAAUUGGAGGAGAAAGGUUAUAAUUAAGUCAAGGAUGGAGAUUGUAUUCGUUAGCUAUUUUGUAAGGUGGCUGGUGGUAGAUGAAGUCAGAAUUGAUCAGGGAAAUUUUGAGUCAGAAGAUGAAAGUCUGAAAAUCCAUUUUUCAUUGUUAUUGCAUUGCAGCCUUCUAUAAGAAGUUUUUGCCUUUUAGGAUGAGGUGGUCCACCUUAGACUUAUACCUGAGGGCUUGAUUUGGCUUCAAAGUUUAGAUGUGGUGAAGGAUGAUCAGUUUUCAGUGUUUUAAAGGAGUUCUUUGCAAAUGGGUUUUCAAGAAGAAUACCUUUGUUUCGGUAAUAGUAUUAAUUAAAUUUUCAUAAUUCUCAUCCCUAAGAACGAAUAUUUCGUCUAAAGGAUUUUAGUCCUAUUAGUUUUUUAACUAGCGUGUACAGGUCAUUACCAAGACUAACUAAAAUUGUGUGAGAUAGUAAGAUAUGGAUCUCAUAUUACCUGAUUAUUUGAACCAAUUUGUGAUUUUGGUCCAUAUUAUACACCUGUACAAGUGCCUAGUUACUUUACUUUAUUUUUACCGGCUACAAAAAUUUCAAGGAGAGUUGCAAUAAAUGCGCUUAUAAGGGCUAAUAUAUCUAGUUGUUUAACAUGUAUAAUGUUAUCUUGCAUACUUUAAUUUACCAUGCUUGAAUCUCAUAGAAGUAUGUAAGUUAAGUUCCUCCUCCCCCAUCCUAGGGAAAAGGGAGUGGGGUGAGAAAAUUAAGUAUAUAAACAAAAUCUUUGAACUGUUUACUGGCUUAAUUACUGAAACUAAAAGGACAUUCCGACUUGCUUACAUAUAUACCGAGAACACAGAAGUUAACAAACAAUGAGAAACAGAAGCACAGUAAUAAAAAAAACUAAAAAAUCGUACCUUCAUGGACUUCAUCGUUUUGACUGUCAUCAUGGACCUCCACAUCAUUAUCAUCUCCGUCGUUAUCACUGUUAUCAUUGUCAUCGUCAUUAUCUGUAUGUUCUGUAUCAUCCCCAUCACUUUCAACAGGUAUUUCAGGUUUCGGAGGUGGAACAAAACUGGUUGUGGACCUUCUACGAGAACUUGAAACAAUGUUUCUCGUAUCAAUUCCUUCAAGUUCUUUUGCUCUUUCCUUUUUCUUUCUGACUUCUUUGAUUUCUAAGCAUAAAAAUCAUGUGGUGUCACUUUAUAUAUAAAACGGAUGCAUCUUCAAUGAAUAAUAUCUAUACUAUCUGAUUAUGCGUGAGAAGAUGACAUUUCUCAGAAUCACAAAUACUGAUACAGGAAGAUAUGUUAAGUAAUUAAAUUAUAACACACUUAUAUGUGUGUGCGUGUGCGGGUGCCGGUGCGGACGCGGGUGCGUGUUAUAAAACAAUUAAGAGUGGUAUUUCACCAAUAUGAAUGAUAUGGAUAAAAUAUGAUUAUGCAUGAGAAGAUGACAUUUAUCGGAAAUUACAAUUGAUACGGGAAGAUACGUUACCUAAUUAAUUAUAACAUAUACUAUUGUGUGUGUGUUGUGUAUUCAUAUGCACACAUGCACACAUGCACACACGCGCACAACCUCUUUAUAAUCAUUAGCGGUUUAAGAUCCUAGUCAAGUGACUCAAUUGCUUGAACACACAAUUUGUAGCUUUUUCUUGAGCAUGGAAUGUCUGAGGAUGGGAAGGAACAUUUCGUGAAUUCGGUCUCUAUAAUGAUCACGAAAAUCGGUUAUCCUUGUAAUUAGGAUUGCAAGUAUUUAAUUAAUAAAAUAAAAUUUUAUUACUUAUUAUGAUGUGCUAUAUGAUGUAAGGUCGAAUAAUGACCUAGUUUAUGUGUUAUGUGAUUAUGUAUGUGUUGCAAUUUCGUAGACAAAAAAUAAAAAAAUUCGAGAAAUAUGCUAAAACACUAUUCAUAAAACGCAGAAAACGUUUUUUCGUGUUUUAGACUUUUCGAAUUACGCAAUAGCAUUUUUUCGAGUAUUAGAGACGUAAUCUCUAUUUAAACGUUAAAAACGUAAAAGUCAACUUUUCGACUAAUCAGACAAGUUACGAAACCUAACUAGAAACGUAACUAGAAGCUAAUCGGAUGACAAAAGCUAAAAAGGGGCUUGGCCAAGGGGGAAUGCCCGACCAUUAUGGCUAGGGGGGAAGGACAAGGGCUAGGAUUACCAUUUAUGGUUAAGUCUUGAGCCAUUACAAGCAACAAUUAACGCUAAGCAAAUAAGUCUUAAUUUUAAUUAUUUUAAUCUAACCUUGAUUAGCCUAUGUGUGGGUUGAUUAAGGAUGAUGAGGGGAUGGUAGGAUGAUGAGGGGAUGGUAUGUAAGAGUUAGGAAGUAGAGGGGUAAGACUAGGAGAAGACCUAGUGGAGUGACCAACUUGUAAGCAUAUAAAAGUAGGUUUUAUAUAUAUUAAAACCUCCAACACCGAGUCAUUUUCAUCAUUUGCUACAUAAGAAAAGAAAGAGCAAGAGAGAAUAGAGAGAAAAGAGAGAGGGUUCGACAAAGAGGAGAGGGAGAAGAAGCUAGCAAGCAAACUUGGAUCAUCAAGUUUAAGGAAGAAGAAGAAGCAAGAACCAAGAGGUAAACCUUGAAACCCUAGCUAUUCAUCAUCUUCUUUCAAGCUUUUGAUAUAAGUUUUUAUGGUGGUUGUGGUUGGUUUGUGGUGGAUCAUGAAAGAUCCUGGAGAAAAAAGGUAGUUGUGGUCUAUAUACUUAUAAACUACCAGUAAUAUGGAUGAAAAGUGUAAACAAAAAUUAAAAACGUAAGCCUAAGCGUAAAGUAUGGAAAACUAUACAGAGGAUUGUAAUUGAACUUGAGAAAUCGCUAUUUCGUAAGACAUAUAUUGAAAUUCGAGAAGGGAAUAUAUGUAUGUGUUGUGAAAAUGUUCCAAUUGGAACAGAGUAAAAAUAUGUUAUAACGAAGUUAUGGCGAAAAUUUUAGUAAAGUAUGUUAAAAGUCGAAAAACCUAGCAUGGUACGACUUUCGGGCCAAUUUUAUGAGCCGUAAGCUCAAGAACGAACUCAAUCAAACUUCAGAUGAGCAAGUUACGAUGAUUUGAAAAACCGAUAUUAGAAACAUCAUAUUGAAAAACUAGUCAACGAAGAAUUUUUGAGCCACUGUUUUGGCUUGAUAACGAAUCUAGAAAAAUUUUCCAUUCAGGGGGAGAUUUGUAGAGGAUGUUACGAGCAAGAAAAUGGCUCAAGAACAGCGCAUUCUGAUAUCAGAUGAGCGAGUUAUGAAGUUGCUUAGUUGUGAUGACGAAGCAAAAAAAAUUCGGAAAACUGAGUGUUGCAAUUCUGCGUUCGCAGAAUGUAUAGCGCAGCUGCGCUGCCCAUGAGCGCUGCUGGCUGGGCAGAGCACAGCUGCGCUGGGAGGGGUCAGGGCUGGCCUUGGCAAGGCCAAGUCUAGACAGGGUUGUCCGGGGCGAACGUGUGGUGUGUUGUGAAAUCGAGCGUGAGACGCGUUGAGUUUUCUAAACUUCGUAACGUUAGGCCAUACUUAUUAGAUAGCUUUGAGUUCUAAAGAACCUCAAGGAUGUGUUGUAAGAUAAGAUGAACCAUCGUAAAAGAGUAUUAGGAAGGUCGUGUCUUUCCCGAACGUCACGGCGCCGAGCGAGAUUAAUAAAGUUUGGACGCGUUAACUAAAUUAUCAAACGAGAACACUAUGAACUGAGAAUUAAGAUAACUUAAAUCAAUAUAUGAAGUCGAUAUGUGGCAAAUUGGUGUGUUAUCAUGAAUGAAUUGUGUAAGCUAUUUGAAGAGCAAGUUAGAAAGUACCCUAAAUUCGGGUUUGAAAGUACCCGAAUUUGGAGGCGUCACUGGUUGGUAUCAAAGGCUGUAAGUUAUUAACCUUAUGUGGGAGAAAAACCUUAGGAUAUAACCUGAGACAAGUAAGAAUAGUUGGUGAAAAGAUAAACUCAGAUAGAGUUUUAAGAGAUGAAUUGAGAAAAUUCAUCAAAAGAAGUAAAAGUAACAUAAAAUAAAUUGUUAUUUGUGAUAAUAAAUGUGUAUAUUGUGAUGUGCUAAUCAGGUUAAAAUAAAUUUGAUUGUAGAUGUCAGGAGAUGAUGAUGUUAGGAGAUGAUGAUGUUAGGGAUGUUCAUGUAGUGAGCGAUGAGCUGAUCGCUCCACCCGAGCUAGCACCAGAGGCAAUACCCGUAGUGCCAGCUGAAUUUGAUCUGGAAGAAGAUUCGAAAGAGGAUCCUGAUGAGGAAACUCUUGAGGAGCCAGUUGGUGAGGCUCAACCCGUAGUGCCAGCUGAAUUUGAUCUGGAAGAAGAUUCGAAAGAGGAUCCUGAUGAGGAAACUCUUGAGGAGCCAGUUGGUGAGGCUCAACCCGUAGUGCCAGCUGAAUUUGAUCUGGAAGAAGAUUCGAAAGAGGAUCCUGAUGAGGAAACUCUUGAGGAGCCAGUUGGUGAGGCUCAAGGUGCACCAUCUGAAGCUGUAUCAUCGGAGGAAUCGGAGGAUGGUUAUAUUAAUCCCGAGAUUCAGGAAGCACUUACCCAAUUAGGAGUGUUGGUUCACCAUUUGGUGGACAGAAACACUGAGUUGAACAUUAGGUUUAAUAAUGCAGAGAACAGAGUGCAGGAACUCCAGGUGGAGACGCAUGCACUGAAUAACUAUUCGGACGAAGAAAUUUUGAAUCGGUAAAGGGCUGAAGAUUAUGUUCGUGACCUCGAGCAUGAGGUGAUGACGAACAAGAGGAAAAUUGACAGGAUGAAUUAUGCUUAUACAACGUCGAUGGAGCGAGGUCAAGACAGGGUAUGGUUUUACCCUGAAGAGAUAGGACAGACCCGUCAUGCAAUUAGUCGAGGCCGUGUGGUUGCUAUUACCACAGAAGAGCGUACAGACGCUAUUGCUAGAGGACUAGCAUAGUAUAGUAAUGAUGUAUAGGUUUAUUAUGUAUAUAAGUAUUUAUAUCUGUUUAAUGUGAAUCCCAACUUUUGUAUAUCUAACGGGAUAUCUUUUGUAAAUCCCAUCUUUUUGAAAGUAAUAGAGGGAUAAUAUGUAAAUAGCAAGGCUAUGGAGGAGUAUGUAAAAAGUAUAUUAAUAUAAGAAUGAUUAUUAAAUGAGCAUUGUGACGAGUAAUAAUUUUAGCAUUAAAUAAGUGCUUUAAAAUAAAAAAUGAAAUAAUAAUAACGUUAUUUUAUUAACAAAAAAAUGCCGCCAAGAGGAAGACCUAGAGGACAAAGAAAUUAAGAAGAAGAAUCUCGUAAUGAGAAUAGGGACCAAGCUAACCCUAUACAGCAGUUUAUAGACCUCUUAUUAGGGGCUUUUAAUCGAAACCUUGUCGGAGUAAAUGUUAAUCCUCCACCUUUGCCAUUGGCAAGCUUUAAGGAUUUCAAGAGUGUGGGACGGCCAGAUUUUGGGGAACCACCGAGCCAAUAGAGGCUCAAUCCUGGAUAAAGGAGAUAGAGAAUGCAUUUGUUAUUGCUAGAGCAAGUGAGGAGCAAAAGACGGCUUUUGCUACUUACAUGUUGAGGGGUGAAGCCAACUUCUGGUGGGAGGCAAACCAAAAUAGGGUUGGGAAGGAAUAAUUACCUGGAAAAGAUUCAAGGAAUUAUAUUUCGAGAAUUAAUUUCCCAGAAGUAUGCAGAGCCGAAUUGAGAUGCGGUUUCUGGAUUUUAAGCAAGGGGACAUGACUGUGCCCCAGUACGUAGCCAAAUUCAAUGAAAUGGCUAGAUUUGCUCCACAUCAAAUGGACAUGGAAGAUAGAAAGGCUAGCAGGUUUGAGCAGAGCUUGAAACCCUGGCUCUACAGCAAACUUGUCGGUGUUACAAAUAGAUUCGUUUGGUACGAUUCAAGAGAAGGAUAUCAUAGCUGAUGGAGGAAGUGAGGCAUUGAGCCUGUAUAAUAGAGGAAGAAUAAGAAUAAAACGGAAGGAGCAAAAAAGUUGAGGGAGGCAGUGGAAGUGGAGGAAAUAAAAGAAAAUGAAAUAAUUCCGAGAAUACCGAGAAUAAACAAGGAGACCAGAAGAAAAGAUUUGAAGCAUGUAAGACAUGCGAGAAGAAUCACACAGGAGUAUGUUUAAAGGGAAAGGCGGUAUGUUAUAGCUGCGGGCAAGAGGGAUAUAUCUCCAAAUUGGCCCAAUCCGAAGAAGGGUGUGUGUUUUAACUGUGGAGGGUUAGAUCACCUAGCAAGGAAUUGCCCGAAGAAGAGAGCCAACGGGGGAAGCGGCAACAAGGGAAAUAGUAGUGUGAAGCUGACAAUAACUGGUCCAGCUCCACCGAAUAGACCGACUGCAAGGUCUUUUAACAUGAUGGUCAAAGAUGCAAUUGCAUCCGAAGAUGUAAUCUCAGGUAUCGUCCUGGUUAAUGAUAUUAAUGCAUAUGUAUUGUUUGUUUCGGGUGCGGCCUGUUCUCUCAUAUCACAUGAAUUUGCUAGACAUUUAAGUUUACCUCUAGAGAAUCUAAAGACUCCUUUGAACAUUGAAGUUGCGAAUAAGGAAGUAAUCCAUGUUGAAUAUAUAUAUAAAAAAAUUGUUGCGUUAAGAUACGAAAACGUGAAUUAUUGGUAGACUUAAUUCCAAUUUAAUUGGGAGAAUUCGACGUAAUUCUAGGAAUGAAUUGGUUGUAUAACCACGAGGCAAUGAUAGAUUGCCAGAAGAAAAUUGUAAACCUUAAGACUUCUUAGCAAUCUAAGGUAGUGUUACAGUAGUAAAUCGUCGAGACAUUCUUAUUAUCAGACGAAGAUGCAAGCUAGAAAGCUAUUGAGAAAAGAAUGUGGGUUAUUUAGCCUAUGUUGUAGAUACCCAACGAUUGGGAGCAGAGAUGGGUCAGAUACUCAUAGUAAAAGAAUUCACGGAUGUUUUUCCUAAUGAAUUGUUAGGUAUUCUACUAGACAGGGAGAUCGAGUUUGUUAUAGACGUAGUACCAGGGACGACACCAAUUUCGAGGGCACUAUAUAGAAUGGCGCCAGCAGAGAUGAAGGAGUUGAUUCAACUUCUGGACAAGUAUAUUCAACCGAGUGUGUCUUCAUGGAGAGCACCAGUGUUGUUUGUGAAGAAGAAUGAUGGAUCGUUGAGGCUUUGUCAUGGAGAGCACCAAUGUUGUUUGUGAAGAAGAAUGGUGGAUCAUUGAGGCUUUCUAUCGACUAUCAGGAGUUGAACAAAGUAAUGAUUAAGAAAAAGUACUCAUUGCCUAGGAUUGAUGAUCUUUUUGAGCAAUUGAAGGGCGCAAAGUAUUUUUCUAAAAUAAAUUCAAGGAUUGGGUAUCACCAAUUGAAAAUAAGAAGUGAAGAUGUACCUAAGACAUCAUUCAGAACUCGUUAUAGUCAUUACGAAUUUUUGGUGAUGUCGUUCAGGUUGACUAAUGCUCCUGCAACAUUUAUGGAUAUGAUGAACAGAGUGUUAAAAUAAUAUUUGGACAAGUUCGGAGUUGUGUUCAUAGAUGAUAUCCUGGUCUAUUCUAAGACGUAAGAGGAUCAUGAUGAACAUUUAAGAAUAGUGUUGAAAACACUAAGAGAAGUUGUAUGUGAAAUUCACUAAAUGUAAAUUUUGGCUAGAAAGGGUUCAAUUUUUGGGCCACAUAAUCGACAAGGAUAGAAUAUACGUAGAUCCAGCGAAGGUGGAGACGGUAAUUAAUUGGGAGCAGCUUAAGACGCCAACGGAAAUGCGUAGCUUCUUAGGGUUAGCAAGCUACUAUCGGAGAUUUAUUCAAGAUUUUUCGAAGAUAGCUACCCGUUGACAAAUUUGAUAAGGAACACGGUGAAGUUUGUAUGGUCGGAGAAAUGUGAGUGCUUUCAGGAGCUCACGAAAAGAUCGUGUGGCGCCUGUGUUGUCUUUACCAGAUGAUACAGGUAAUUUUGUAGUAUAUAGUGAUGCAUCACAUAAGAGACCUGGAUGCGUGCUUAUACAAUACGGUGAAGUCAUUGCUACGCGUCACAACAAUUAAAGGAUUACGAGGGGAUACCCUACUCAUGACUUAGAGUUAGCAGCCAAUGUGUUUGCCUUGAAUAUUUGAAGACACUAUUUAUAUAGUGGAAAAUGUGAGAUAUACAUGGACCAUAAAAGUCUGAAAUAUAUCUUCACAUAGAAGGAGCUAAAUAUGAGAAAGAGGAGAUGGCUAGAACUAAUCAAGGACUAUGAUUGUGAGAUUCUAUAUCAUUCGCGAAAGGCGAAUGUGGUGGGGACGCCUUAAGUAGAAAGGAUCGGGACAAAUUGUCAAUGUUAACGGCUCAAGAAGAGCUUAUAAUAUAGAUGGCUAUAAUGGAGUUAGAGGUGAGAUAUCCGAGAGAGUCUGAUGAAAAAUUAUUUAUGGUGGAGACUCGUCCAACGUUAUUGGACAAAGUGAAGGAAGCACAACUCAAAGAUGAGGAAAGUGAGAAAAUGAGGAAAAGAUUUUUCGAAGGUAAAGAAAUUAAGUUUAAACUCGAUAACGAGGGGUUUUUGAAAUUUGAAAGUAGAAUAUGGGUUCCGUUGAUAUCGGAAUUAAAAGAAGAGAUUUUGCAAGAUGCCCAUUGUUCGAGGUACUCAAUUCAUCUGGGGAGUACGAAAAUGUAACAAGACCUCCGACAACAUUUUUGAAGGCCGAAUAUGAAGAAAGAAAUCGCAGAAUGCAUCAAAGACCGAGCGAUUUGCUAUAACCCUUGGAGAUUCCAGAAUGAAAGUAGGAGCAUAUCACAAUAAAUUUCGUGGUAGGACUUCUAGCCACGCACAAAGGAUACAAUGCUAUAUGAGUUAUAGUGGAUUGUUUAACCAAAUCGGUGCAUUUCUUAACGAUUAUGAUAAGGUUGAAUUUAGACCAAUUAGCUAAACUUUAUGUCAAGAAAAUCGUUUCCAGAAAUGGAGUGCCAAUUUCAAUCGUGAUCCGCUUUUCACAUCGAAUUUCUGAAAGAGUUUGCAAGAGUGCAUGGGAUCACAGUUGAGGUUGAGUACGACAUUAUCAUCAAACAGACGGACGGAACAAAAGAACGAUACAGACUCUAGAAGAUACGCUAAGGGCAACGUUAUGGAUUUUAAAUAGAGUUGGGAUGAGUACGAAAAUAAGUGUAGAACGCCACUGUGAUGGGACGAGGUGGGGGAACGUCGAUUGCUUGGACCGGAAUUGGUUCAGUAAACUGCAUAAAUAAUCAGAACAACAAGGUCAAGGCUCAUAGUAGCUCAACACCAAUAGAAGAAGUAUGUUGAUCAAUAUCGGCAGAAGAGAGACUUUGACGUAGAUAGCUACGUGUUUUUGAAAGAAUCUCCCUGCAAAAGGAAGAUAAGAUUUGGAAAGGAAAGGAAAGCUAAGUCCAUGAUUUUUUGGACCUUUUGAAGUUUUGUGAAGGGUAGGAGAGGUGGCUUACAAAAAAGCCUUACCUCCCAAGUUAAAACAUAUACAUAAUGUUUUUCAUGUGUCAGAAUUACGACAAUAUGAGCAAGACUAUAAGCAUGUAAUUAAAUAUAAACCUAUUCAGGUUGAAAAAGACUUAACGUAUGAAAAAAUUCAUAUUUGAAUAAUUGAUAGAAAGAGAAAAUUUUGAGAAGUGAGUAAUACUUUCAGUGAAGGUAGUGUGGAGGAACCAUAAUGCCGAAGAAGUAACAUGAAAACUAGAAAAUAAAAUAAAAAAAAAUUUAUCCCCAUCUUUUUGUUUAACGUUGUUUUGUGAUUUUGGGGACGGAAGUGGGGGAAGAAUGUAAUAAUCGCCAAGACGGAUUAUCCUUGUAAUUAUGAUUGUAAGUAUUUAAUUAAUAAAAUAAAAUUUUAUUAAUUAUUAUUGUGUUAUGUGAUGUAAGGUCGAAAAAUGACCUAAUUUAUGUGUUAUGUAAUUAUGUAUAUGUUUUGCGGUUUCGUAAACGAAAAUAUAACUUUUCGAAAAAAACGCUAAAACACUAUUCAUAAAACGCAAAAAAAAAGGUUUUUCGUGUUUUCAACUUUUUGAAUUACACAAGAGUAGACCUGGCAAAAGAGGCCCAGGCCUGCGGGCCGGGCGUUGGGCUUCAAUUCUUUAGCCCAUGAAAGUGUGGGCCUUUUUGGCCCGGCCCGCGGGUGGCCCGGCCCAGCCCAGCCCGUGGCCCUCAACUUUUUUUUUAAAAAUUAAAAUGUUGCUACUUGUGGGUUGUGAGGCUUGAACACAAGACUUGUAAGUAAAUAAAUAAGAGUUCAAACCAACUGAACUACAACAACUAUUUGUUUUUAAUGCAAUCUUUAAUAUAUUUUAACUAUAAUUAAGACAUGUAGUUAAUGUAGGUAAUUAAUUAAUAAUACUAAUUUAUAAUACUAUUAAAAUUUUAAUUGAUUGAGAUAUGUAGUUAAUGUAGGAAAUUAAUUAAUCGUGUUUGUAGCUUUAUUCUUUGUUGUUCGUUUUAUUAUUUUUAAUAUUUAUUAUUAUUACUAUUUCUGGUGUAAGAAAGAGUUUACAAAAAAAAAAAUUUAAGGGAGAAUCCCGCGGACCAGGCCGGCCCAACCCGGGCCACGGGCCUCACAUUUCCAGCCCACCAAAACCCGGGUCAUUUUGGCCCGGCCCGCCCGUUUUCCAGAUCUACACAAUAGCAUUUAUUUGAGGAUUACUGAUGUAAUCUAUAUUUAAACGUUAAAAACGUAAAAGUCUACUUUUCGGUUAAUCGAACGAGUUACAAAACGUAACUAGAAGCUGAUCGGAUGACAAAAGCUAAAAAGGGUUUGGCCAAAAGGGAAUGCCCAACCAUUAUGUCUAUGGGGGGGNNNNNNNNNNNNNNNNNNNNNNNNNNNNNNNNNNNNNNNNNNNNNNNNNNNNNNNNNNNNNNNNNNNNNNNNNNNNNNNNNNNNNNNNNNNNNNNNNNNNNNNNNNNNNNNNNNNNNNNNNNNNNNNNNNNNNNNNNNNNNNNNNNNNNNNNNNNNNNNNNNNNNNNNNNNNNNNNNNNNNNNNNNNNNNNNNNNNNNNNNNNNNNNNNNNNNNNNNNNNNNNNNNNNNNNNNNNNNNNNNNNNNNNNNNNNNNNNNNNNNNNNNNNNNNNNNNNNNNNNNNNNNNNNNNNNNNNNNNNNNNNNNNNNNNNNNNNNNNNNNNNNNNNNNNNNNNNNNNNNNNNNNNNNNNNNNNNNNNNNNNNNNNNNNNNNNNNNNNNNNNNNNNNNNNNNNNNNNNNNNNNNNNNNNNNNNNNNNNNNNNNNNNNNNNNNNNNNNNNNNNNNNNNNNNCUUACCAAUUUUGGUAAGUCUUGAGCCAUUAGAAGCAACAAUUAAUGUUAUGCAAAAAAGUCUUCAUUUUAAUCUUACUUUGAUUAGCCUAUGUGGGUUGGUUAAGAAUGAUGAGGGGAUGGUAUGUAAGAGUUGGGAAGUAGAGGGUCAAGACUAGGAGAAGACCUAGUUAACUAACCAACUUGUAAGCACAGCAAAGUAGUUUUUAAACUUUAAUAAAGUUUGAACACGUUAACUAGAUUAUCAAACACGAACAUUAUGAACUGAGAAUUAAGACAACUUAAACCAAUAUAUGAAGUCGAUAUGUGGCUAAUUGGUGAGUUAUCAUGAAUGAACUGUGUAAGCUAUUUGAAGAGCAAGUUAGCGUAAACUAUUAACGAACACACAUAAGGCAAGUAUCCCUAAACUUUUUACAAGUUUUCUAAAUUCAAUUGACAUAUGUUCUUAUGAAUGUUAUAUGAUGAUUUGAGAUUCAAAUUUACUCCAUGCUUGCAUAUAGUGUAAAUUCUAAAGCUUAUACAAAUAUUUAUAUUUGUACAAGUUGUUCAGCUAUGUAAAGCUACAAAUUGCUAAUUUUCAAAAUUCUGUAUGCAUGAAUUGUUUAAGAAGAUUGUCGAUGCCAAUUGUUCCGGCUAGACAGAAGUUAAAAUAUUUUAUCGAUGUGAUAUUAAAUUUUUAAAAUAUUAUUGAUGUUAAGUAGAGCUACUCAAACCAAAUUGUUUUGGUGAGGAUUAUAAUGUAAAUCUGAGAAGAACCACCCUAUUAUUAGGGGAAGUUUUGGCCGGUAAUACCGAUCAACCGUGUUGGGUGAUAAUCAAACGCAUAUAGUCGUUUAAAGUAGAAUGUUGAUCAACAUAGGGUACAAUAGGUUGAUCACCUAGCGUGUCCCGAAGACAAACGGUUUAUAGUUGAAUUACUGUUAAACCUUUUACAAAAAGAAAAGUUCAAGGUCUUAUGACCGCUUAGAAUGUCGUUUCAAAAAUGUUUUAAACGAAAGCAAAGUUAUUAUUCCUAUUUAUUCGAGGUUAUUUCACAACUAUUGUUCAGUUGUUUAAGUGUUCAGAGAAAGAAGCUAUGAUUCUCGACUUUGUAGUUAUUACAACUGUUAUACUUGUUGAGCAAUUAAAUGCUUAUUUUUGCUUUAAAUUAAAUGUUUUCAGCGAAGCCAAAACGUAUAGAAGGUUUCGAUCAUGACAAAGAAAAGGGAAAGAUGAACGAAUAAAAGAAGUGUACCUUUUGUAAUAGAUAGGAUGGUUAUAAUAUAUAUUAUGUAUAUUAUUAUGUAUGAAGAUUUAAAGGUCUGAGAACCUGGGAUUUAGAGCAAGACAUAUUGUAAAUUUGUAAUAGUAUAACAAUUACAUUUAUGUCAUUAUUAUAUACCGUGUAGCACCAAAUUCGAAUUUGAAAGUACCCGGAUUUUGGGACGUCACAGUCUGUGCCAUCCUAGAGAAGAGGUUUUAAGACUUGGGAACCUUGUAAUUAAGAACACGUCUAUGGCAAGUUAAUGAUUAUGGUGCGUCUCUUUGGAAAUAGACUACUUUUUGACAUUAGAUGAUUAUAAGCAAGUAUCAAAUUCCAGCAAAAUGGGUGGGAUGCUGGAAGUUCAUUUUUAGGAGAUUUAAAUCAGAAGGAAACAAAGGAAUUUCAUUUAUUUAUUCAGCUUCUUAAAUCAGCUCUAUUUCUCAGGCCAAUAGCAUGUUUGGGGAGUUUUGAUCACUAUGUAAUCUUCUCUUAUUGAUCUUUUCACUUACUAGGUUAUUGUCCCAUGCUUUAUUGUCCUCUAAUUUCUUAUAUUUGCAAGGCAAAGUUACCUUAAAAUUUAAUGCUUUUGUGACCCUUGACCGGCUUAAAAUCAAUGACAUGCAUCGCAGUGUAGACCUUACAUAUCUUUCCUCUCCAAAUGUGUGUUCUGCAAGUGUAUGCAGGAAAGUGAACCAUUGUCCUCUGUUUGUCUGUAGUACGUCUCUU
rnacentral:lncRNA from 1 species